ensembl:lncRNA
AUCCCACUGUAUCUUUCUAUUAGGCCUGCUCCCGUUGGAUUGUAGGGCAGGUGAAACCGCCAUUCAAUGUUAUUGUCUUCAGCCCACUUCUGCACAGUUGCACCUGUGAAAUGUGUACCUUGAUCACUCUCAAUAACCUCAGGAGUCCCGUAUGAUGCCAUCAAUCUAGUUAGAGCUUUGAUGGUAUAGGCUUAGUUUGCCUUUGCUACAGGAUAGGCUUGCAUCAGUCCACUCGCUGUAUCGACACAAGUUAGGGCAUAUCUGGCCCCCUCAGAUCGAGGAAGGGGACCUAUAUAAUCGAUCUGCCAUCGCUGUAAUGGGUUGUGUCCUCUAGCGAGAUGGGCCGUAGUUUCCGGCAGAGGUCUUGGUCUCAUUCGCGAGCAAGCGUCACAGUCCUGACAUGCCUGGACAAUAUCUGGUAACUGUUUCCAUAGUUGUAAUAAGACCUGGUUAGGCUGUCCAUCGAUCUUUUGAAAUUGAACUCCAGCCCUAAUCAGGUCGGUAAACAUUUGUUUUCUUGAGACCCUGAUGGGUCCAGAUUGAAUUACAUUAGGGGCAGGUCUCCUAGGUCGUGGUGGCGGAUGGAUGUCCGACUUUUCCACCACCAUUCGGACAUUGCGCCUGGCGCGCAGGCGCUCUGUCUCCCCCAGAUCUGCCACCAAUUGGGCGGCCUGUUGUAUAAUGGCCUCUGAGGCCACUAGGGGAUUUAGUAUGGAUACCAAAAUUCCAUACUGAUGUGGUGGAGCCUGCUGCAGGAUGAGGUCCCUCAUUCCUGUGGAAAAUUUUAUCAUAUCUGGGCUCUCAAAAUUGUCCUCAUAAAUUGCCUCCUUCAUACCUAAUUCUCGGAUAUAAUUUUGUAAGUCCUCCAUAGAGGACCACAGGCCGGUAUUUAAUGGUAUGUCCGUUUUAUUCGCCCAUGUCACACGGCAUGCGGCCAUUAACCAUGCAAUCAGUGAAUGAUUUUCUUCAUUGUGUUGCACAGCCGCAUAUAGUCUUUGCCUGAGGGCCGGGUGAGUAGUAAUUGAUGCCAGUUUUGAGAUUUCUGGCCCAUUCACCACAAUGCUUUCUGCCCCCAUGUCAUAUAGUCUGAGUAACCAUGCUGGCACACUCUCUCUCGGUUUUUGUCUAAAGCGUUGUACUAAAUCCAUUAAUUCAGCUGCCGUGUAUGGGCGAGCUGUUACAUGUAGUGUGCUCUGGGCAGGGGGCCACUGGUCAGGGGGCAGCCCCGCUGGCCUGUCCUGCGUUUUUUUUUGUUUUUUGAGUUACAACUGGUCAGAUCUCAAAGGGAUCAAGCUCUAGUGGAGCCUCAAGAUCUGACUUCUUAGUGCUUUCAUUUUCUGAGUCCAGUUCAUGUGGACUCUCUUGUAUAGGAUCCCCAGUUAUUUCUAGAGAGAUGUUUCGGAUUUUUUGUACCGGAAUUAUAGGGUUAGGUUUUUUCCCUCUCAAAAUUGCAACCUGUCUUUCCAGUUCUUCAAAACGGUCACGUAAUAGUUGAUUUUCAUCAGUGAGAACCCCUUCAGUUAUAUUUAGCCGGUUCAAGGCCAUCAGCAGCGGCCACGCCACCGUGGAGGCAGCUAACUGUCGUUCUCGUGUAUAUUCCACAUCACAACAUCAUGCAGUGUACUGGGAGUUAAAGAGCAAAUGCUUUAGUUCCGGGUACCUGUCUGGAAGAGAAGAAGAACUACGUUCC